CAAAUAAUUAUGCAUGGGUGAUUAAACUUUUUAUGAAUUUGUAAGGUUAUGUAUAUUUCUCUAUUUGUUUUGAUAAAUACUUAUCAAGCAGGGGGUUUCUAUGAAUAGCAUAUAUGACAAAUGUGAUUUUACUCUGCUGUGUUGGUUCAGUGAACCAAGCAUCCUGAAUUCUUCCCUGAUAGGACUGGGCCUUUGACAUCACUGAAAAAAAGAAAUAGAUUCUGGGAAGGAGGUUUCAUCCGAGUAUCCCUGAACAUUUGUCUGGAAGCACUCAUCCUGUGACAUCACUAAAAAAUCAUAAUUUGGAUUUCGAUGGUCAGCAGGUGGUGGUGGUGGUAUUGGUGGUGGUGAUUACCUGAGCUGUAAAGGAUACGAGCUUGGUGCUGUGUCCAUCCUCUGCUCACAUUUGGGACCUCACUGCCUCGGAUACUUUUUAGAAGUUUGGCUUUGUCUGUGUAUGGAGGCCACCAUGAUAUGCCCUCAUGGUACCACUCUGCUGCCACCGGGCUUGUUGUUCCCUCAUCCACAAAUUCAACCAUUCGCGAUACUGACUGGCUGUUUGGAUGGACCUGGGAAGUGGACCACAUGCAUGAACUUUGUAUAAUCCCAUUCUUUUCCUAUUUCGAUUCAGUUUUUUGGGCCUCUCUGACAGUCUUCUAAUGACCUGACUGAGUGGGAAGCCAGGUUUUCUAAUUAGCUUUUUAAUCUGGUGAAGGAAAGAUUCAAAUUUAAAUGCACUGAAAUUAUCGAGUGCACCAUGUAUUUUUACAUCUUGUGCCAAGUGAACAAGGUUGUGUACAUUGUAAGACAUGAACUUUUCCCCAUAGAGCUCUUGAAAGUGUUUCACAAAUAAAACCAAAAUGUCAUUAGCAUACUCAAGAUGGUCUCGGAGUAGCUGUUUGCUGGAUAAAAUGAACACUCCCACAAAAAGUAGAAGAAAGUUUUGGUAUGCUGUUGUAAUGAGUGUGCUAUUUAAAAGAACAGGCCCACUGUACAACAAAAACUGCCGGAACUCAGUAGCUUUCCACCUGUCUAACUCUCUUACAGACCUUGGUUGUCGCGAGAAUUCCAAGGGAACAUUUUUACGGAUUUGCUGAAGUCUGCUUGAAAGGUUGUCAACAGUAGAGGCAGGCAGUCUGCAGGACAAAGGACCCCGUAGCCACAACAAAAGGAGCCUGCGCAUAACACCAAGGCACACAAGGUGCAUAUAGUCUAAUGGAAAGCCUGUUACCAUUUUCAGUGAUGUUCUUUGCAGUGGUGUGGGACCAUGAUGAUGUUCUUCAUCUAUUUGAGCCCUGAAUGACUCAUCUGUUCUGAGUAAAGCAUCAAUUUCAGGAAAAACAACUCGAUUCUCAAUAUACUUCCCCUCUUGGGUACAUUUCCCACAGCCACUAUAGCCAGAGUGACCGUUUAUGUUUUUCACAAAGGCACAUGCCGGAGCAUCACAAACUACUGUGCACAGCCUUAAGUACAGGAAAUCUCCUUUGUAAUUAAAUCCUUUUUCCAGAUUAGAAAUGUCUGACACAAAAUCUUCUAGGAAGGCAUCCAGGGAUCCUGGUUUUUGGUUGCCACAAAACAAACCUAUUAUGACUGGGUCAUGUUUUGGAAGAUUUUCAAUAAUUCCUAGAAUUGGCCAAAACUGUGUGGUGGAACUCUUGAAUAAAGGUAAACCAUCAAUAUUGA